rnacentral:rRNA from 1 species
AGGGAUCAUUACUGAGUUACCGCUCUAUAUACCCUUUGUGAACAUACCUAACCGUUGCUUCGGCGGGCAGGGGAAGCCUCUCGCGGGCCUCCCCUCCCGGCGCCGGCCCCCACCACGGGGACGGGGCGCCCGCCGGAGGAAACCAAACUCUAUUUACACGACGUCUCUUCUGAGUGGCACAAGCAAAUAAUUAAAACUUUUAACAACGGAUCUCUUGGUUCUGGCAUCGAUGAAGAACGCAGCGAAAUGCGAUAAGUAAUGUGAAUUGCAGAAUUCAGUGAAUCAUCGAAUCUUUGAACGCACAUUGCGCUCGCCAGCAUUCUGGCGAGCAUGCCUGUUCGAGCGUCAUUUCAACCCUCAAGCACCGCUUGGUUUUGGGGCCCCACGGCACACGUGGGCCCUUAAAGGUAGUGGCGGACCCUCCCGGAGCCUCCUUUGCGUAGUAACUAACGUCUCGCACUGGGAUCCGGAGGGACUCUUGCCGUAAAACCCCCAAAUUUUUUACAGGUUGACCUCGGAUCAGGUAGGAAUACCCGCUGAACUUAA